rnacentral:misc_RNA from 1 species
GAACGCACAUUGCACUCUUUGGUAACCCGAAGAGUAUGCCUGUUUCAGCUAUAAGUCACUAUGAACUCCGAGGGGGUGUUUGCCAACUCAGUUUUCAUGACUUGAACUUUCCAGACUCAUUACGCGUCUGGUGGUUUAAAAUAAAAGCAUGGACGGUCUUCUUGACUCAUCCGCACGCAAAAGUGUAAUACGAGCUGUCAAAGGCUUCAUUCACUUCUUGCUAGGACGUCAGAUGUAUCGAUUUAAUCCAUGGUCGCAGGAAAUCUGGGGACUACGCAAGUAGAACCUAUCCAUAGCGGCAUCUGAAAUCAGGUAGGACUACCCGCUGAACUUAAG